UCUCCGUUGGUGAACCAGCGGAGGGAUCAUUACCGAGUUUACAACUCCCAGACCCAAUGUGAACCAUACCAAACUGUUGCCUCGGCGGGGUCACGCCCCGGGUGCGUCGCAGCCCCGGAACCAGGCGCCCGCCGGAGGGACCAACCAAACUCUUUCUGUAGUCCCCUCGCGGACGUUAUUUUUACAGCUCUGAGCAAAAAUUCAAAAUGAAUCAAAACUUUCAACAACGGAUCUCUUGGUUCUG
rnacentral:misc_RNA from 1 species